AGAGCAAGCCCGUAAGCAGCGUAAGUUACUGAGGAACACUGCUUAUGAGCUUGCACUCC
rnacentral:pre_miRNA from 1 species